GAGACCUUCAACCAUUAACUUCAAUUUCCUUGAAAAAGUUGUCAACCAAAUCAGGAGACUGCAUUCCAGGAUUUAUCCCCUUUCAUAGCACAAUAGUAUAAUAACUAGAACCCUGAUGGCUCAAAUUUUGUCCAUCACAUAUAUACAAUAUACAAAUCCUAUGCAAGCACAAGUCCAAAACUUUUACCAAUAGAAAAUUUCGUUUCCUUUGAAAUGAAGAGCCACUAAGAAUCAAGAUUUUAUGUAAUUUUACACUAGAUUGAUUAAUUUCAAAAUUCCAGUGCUUAAUUGCAAGUUUCAGAAGGGUGGUCUAAAAC
rnacentral:misc_RNA from 1 species